UACGUAGGGUGCGAGCGUUGUCCGGAUUUAUUGGGCGUAAAGAGCUCGUAGGCGGUCUGUCGCGUCUGCUGUGAAAACUCGGGGCUUAAUCCCGGGCCUGCAGUGGGUACGGGCAGACUAGAGUGCGGUAGGGGAGACUGGAAUUCCUGGUGUAGCGGUGAAAUGCGCAGAUAUCAGGAGGAACACCGGUGGCGAAGGCGGGUCUCUGGGCCGUAACUGACGCUGAGGAGCGAAAGCGUGGGGAGCGAACAGG
rnacentral:rRNA from 1 species